UCGAAUAGAGACUGAGAAAGGCUCUACUAGAAUUUUAGGACUGACUCCAAAAUCAAUAGGUAUAUAUGGAGUAACAAAGGAUAACGAAGCACCUGGAUCUAGCAAAGCAUAAACAUGUAAAUGAAAAACUUGUAAUGUAUUAGUGACCACAUCAGGAGAACUUUUCUAAUACUAUCAGAACUGAAGAGCAUAGCGUCUAUUUUGGCGCUGCCCACUGGUGGCACCCAG
rnacentral:lncRNA from 1 species